UACGGGGGGGGGCAAGCGUUGUUCGGAAUUACUGGGCGUAAAGGGCUCGUAGGUGGCCAACUAAGUCAGACGUGAAAUCCCUCGGCUUAACCGGGGAACUGCGUCUGAUACUGGAUGGCUUGAGUUCGGGAGAGGGAUGCGGAAUUCCAGGUGUAGCGGUGAAAUGCGUAGAUAUCUGGAGGAACACCGGUGGCGAAGGCGACAUCCUGGACCAACACUGACGCUGAGGAGCGAAAGCCAGGGGAGCAAACGGG
rnacentral:rRNA from 1 species